rnacentral:lncRNA from 1 species
UUAUAAGAUUAAACAAAAGGAUUCGCAAAUAAAAGUGCUAAUGCUACAACUAGUCCAUAAAUUGUUAAAGCUUCCAUAAAAGCCAGACUAAGCAAUAAAGUACCUCGUAUUUUUCCCUCCGCCUCAGGUUGUCUUGCGAUACCCUCUACAGCUUGGCCCGCGGCAGUACCUUGACCAACCCCAGGUCCAAUAGAAGCAAGCCCAACGGCCAAACCCGCAGCAAUAACGGAAGCGGCAGAAAUCAAUGGAUUCAUGAUAAGUUCCUCGCACAAAAAUAAAAUUAAAGAAAUGGUUAAUGAUACAAUCAAUCAAUAAAUUAUGACUUAAUUAUUCAUUCCAUCAAUAAGAUUUCCCCAUCGGAACGAUAGGGCCGUUAUACUCAUUACUAAACUUGUUGAAGAGAUGAAAUAUAACCACUUUUUUCGGAAGAAAAGGAGGAUCGGGACAAAAUCGACGAAACAGAAGAGAUCCAAGUGAAUGGGAAUUAAAGAUAUGUAUAUUUAUUAGUUUCAUUUUACAAUUUAAAUUUUUUUUCUGACUUUUCCUUGCCUAUUCUGACCGAGGAGAACAGGCCAUUCGGCAGGGAGAUUCUGAAAUUGCGGAGGCUUGGUUCUAUAUUCCUAUCCCGAAAUAAUGAAUUGAGUUCGUAGGACUCCAUAUACGUAUUUUUUAUUUUUCUAUUAUUAUAAUUAUAUUAUAAUUAUUAACAUCCUGGAUCAAGUAAAGACUCUGGGUUUCCAGCAAGCCACUGCUACAUCCAUUUCAUUAGGAAUUGAUGAUCUUUUAACAAUACCUUCUAAGGGAUGGCUAGUUCAAGAUGCUGAACAACAAAGUUUGAUUUUGGGUUUCAUAAUUAUAGGAAUUUGCUCUAUAAGUGAUAUGGGACUCAAUGGAGCAAUUUUACAAAUAAUAUCACAUGGGUUUAUUGGCGCUGCAAGCAAUAAAGUACCUCGUAUUUUUCCCUCCGCCUCAGGUUGUCUUGCGAUACCCUCUACAGCUUGGCCCGCGGCAGUACCUUGACCAACCCUAGGUCCAAUAGAAGCAAGCCCAACAGCCAAACCCGUAGCAAUAACGGAAGCGGCAAAAAUCAAUGGAUUCAUGAUAAGUUCAAGAAAAGCUCAAACGACCUUCAACAAAAUGGUACCUGUACCCGAAACCGACACAGGUAGGUAGGUAGAGAAUACCUAGG